rnacentral:rRNA from 1 species
GAUGAACGCUGGCGGCGUGCCUAAUACAUGCAAGUCGAGCGAACAGACGAGGAGCUUGCUCCUCUUACGUUAGCGGCGGACGGGUGAGUAACACGUGGAUAACCUACCUAUAAGACUGGGAUAACUUCGGGAAACCGGAGCCAAUACCGGAUAAUAUAUUGAACCGCAUGGUUCAAUAGUGAAAGACGGUUUUGCUGUCACUUAUAGAUGGAUCCGCGCCGCAUUAGCUAGUUGGUAAGGUAACGGCUUACCAAGGCAACGAUGCGUAGCCGACCUGAGAGGGUGAUCGGCCACACUGGAACUGAGACACGGUCCAGACUCCUACGGGAGGCAGCAGUAGGGAAUCUUCCGCAAAGGGCGAAAGCUUGACGGAGCAACGCCGCGUGAGUGAUGAAGGUCUUCGGAUCGUAAAACUCUGUUAUUAGGGAAGAACAAAUGUGUAAGUAACUAUGCACGUCUUGACGGUACCUAAUCAGAAAGCCACGGCUAACUACGUG